rnacentral:lncRNA from 1 species
AGUACAAGGAAGAACCCAGCUUGCUUGCCAGUAGCCUAAUCUCACUAGGGAGAUGUUCAGAGAAGGUUUCAGAGCUGGGAUGAGGUUGAAGAUACAAAAUGAAAAGAGACUUAAUAAAUAGGGGUUAGAGAGAUGGCUCUGUGGUAAAGAGUAUUCCUUCUCGUACAGGAGACUGGUUUUUUGGUUACCAGUACCCAUAUCCACGGGGUGGCUCACAACAACCUGUUACUAUCUGGGGAGGCAGCUAUCCCCAGAGUGUGUGACUUCCUCAGUGGAGAAUGAGAUGUGAGGAGAGAGGGCUGGGAAGCAUUUAGAAGCCACAUGACAAGGAGGAGGCAAGCAUCUGAGCUGAAGGGUCAGAGAUGAACGUAGCUGAUAGACAAGUGGAAGUCACUGUCCAGAGGGUUUCAUGUUAGAGCCUUCUGUCCUAGACAUUCAGAACAUAUCUUUAAGUAGAGACUGCAAAUUUCGUAUUUGUUUAAAGUUAAAGAAAAAAAAAAAAAAAGCCCUACCGAGGCUCGUGAAUUCCGUUUAAAAUUCCUAAACCUGGCAUGGAGGUGAGCCCUUGUAAUUGUAGCAUUUGUGGGAUGGAAGGAAAAGGACCAAGAAUUCAAGUCGUUCUCAGCUACGUGGAAGUUUAAGGCCUGCUUGAGCCAUGAGCGCCGUGUCUUAAAAA